rnacentral:rRNA from 1 species
GUGGGGAAUCUUCCGCAAUGGACGAAAGUCUGACGGAGCAACGCCGCGUGAGUGAUGAAGGUCUUCGGAUUGUAAAGCUCUGUUAAUCGGGACGAAAGAGCCUAGUGUGAAUAAUGCUAGGAAGUGACGGUACCGGAAUAGAAAGCUACGGCUAACUACGUGCCAGCAGCCGCGGUAAUACGUAGGUGGCAAGCGUUGUCCGGAAUUAUUGGGCGUAAAGCGCGCGCAGGCGGAUCUGCCAGUCUGUCUUAAAAGUUCGGGGCUUAACCCCGUGAUGGGAUGGAAACUACAGAUCUAGAGUAUCGGAGAGGAAAGUGGAAUUCCUAGUGUAGCGGUGAAAUGCGUAGAUAUUAGGAAGAACACCAGUGGCGAAGGCGACUUUCUGGACGAAAACUGACGCUGAGGCGCGAAAGCCAGGGGAGCGAACGGGAUUAGAAACCCGUGUAGUCC